rnacentral:rRNA from 1 species
CUAGUGCACACGCAUAAGCCUAAGUUAGUUUUUCUCUCUGAAACCCGGAAAAGCGAUGAUUAUGUGAAUAAACUGCGAUGGAGACUAGGUCUCCGGCAUUGUAUUGUGCAACCCGGGAUUGGCAAGAGUGCCGGGAUUGCACUGUUCUAUGAUCAG